AAUAGCCUAACGGCUGAACCAGCAACUUGGAGGAAUGUAUAGCAAUAGCUGAUUGCACCAACAAAUAGUUGAUGCAAUAUUGACUCUGUCAAAUAAAAUUCUAGGUAGAAUUAUGAUAAUGACAUUGUCUGCCUAUAUGUCUUGACCAAAUUACGUGCCAGCAGUCGCGGUAAUACGUAGAAGACUAGUGUUAUUCAUCUUUAAUAGGUUUAAAGGGUACCUAGACGGUAAAUCAAGCCUUCACGGGGACUAAUUUACUAGAGUUACUUACGAGGGGGUAUUAAAGUACUGCAGGUGUAGAGAUGAAAUUCUGUCAUACCUCUUUUCAAAAGAAAAACUAUGGCACAGGUAUAGGUGAAAGCAUCCCCUUAUGUGAUAACUGACGUUGAAGGACGAAGGCUUUGUGUCGCGAACAGGAUUAGAUACCCCAGUAGUCAAAGCAGAAAAUGAUGAAUGUCAUAGAUUAGAUAUAUAGUUUAUUCUAUAAAUGAAAAUGUAAGCAUUCCACCUCAAGAGUAAUUUGGCAACAUUGGAACUGAAAUCAUUAGACCGUUUCUGAAACCAGUAGUGAAGUAUGUUGUUUAAUUUGAUGAUCCGCAAAAAACCUUACCACAAUUUGAAUAUUUAUAUCUAUCUUUUUUUUUCGUAAAAAAAAUAAAAAGGUAAUAUAUUUACAAGCGUUGCACGGCUGUCUUCAGUUAAUGUCGCGAGACUUUGGUUAGUUCCAUUUAAUUAACGUAAACCCUUACUUUAUUUUUAUAUGAAGUAGUUCCCCGCUAUAUUGGAUAUGAUAACAGGGACUAAGACAAGUCAUCAUGGCCUUAAUAUUGUGGGCUAUAGACGUGCCACAUAAACCUUACAAAAGGGUGUGAAAUUGCGAAAUUGAGCUAAUCCCCCAAAAAUGGAUAAACAUUGUUAAU
rnacentral:rRNA from 1 species